CCGCGGUAAAACCGGUUACUCCUACGGGAGGCAGCAGUGGGGAAUAUUGGACAAUGGGGGAAACCCUGAUCCAGCCAUGCCGCGUGUGUGAUGAAGGCCUUCGGGUUGUAAAGCACUUUCGCACGUGACGCGGUAACGUGAGAAGAAGCCCCGGCUAACUUC
rnacentral:rRNA from 1 species